GCCCGUAUAGCUCAGUGGUAGAGCGCAGCACUCGUAAUGCUGAGGUCCACGGUUCGAUCCCGUGUGUGGGCA
rfam:Grosmannia clavigera kw1407 unplaced genomic scaffold GCSC_113, whole genome shotgun sequence.